AUUGAACGCUGGCGGCAGGCCUAACACAUGCAAGUCGAACGAGUGGCGGACGGGUGAGUAAUGUCUGGGAACCUGCCUGAUGGAGGGGGAUAACUACUGGAAACGGUAGCUAAUACCGCAUACCAUCGGAUGUGCCCAGAUGGGAUUAGCUAGUAGGUGGGGUAACGGCUCCCCUAGGCGACGAUCCCUAGCUGGUCUGAGAGGAUGACCUGGGACAAUGGAAGUGAGACACGGUCCAGAGUUCUACGGGAGGCAGCAGGGGGGAAUAUUGCACAAUGGGCGCAAGCCUGAGGCAGCCAUGCCGCGUGUAUGAAGAAGGCCUUCGGAUUGGAAAGUACUUUCAGCGGGGAGGCGUUACUCGCAGAAGAAGCACCGGCUAACUCCGUGCCAGCAGCCGCGGUAAUAC
rnacentral:rRNA from 1 species